GGGCCCGCACAAGCGGUGGAGCAUGUGGUUUAAUUCGAUGAUACGCGAGGAACCUUACCAGGGUUUAAAUGCAGAACGACAGGGGUGGAAACACCCCCUUCUUCGGACGGACUGCAAGGUGCUGCAUGGUUGUCGUCAGCUCGUGCUGUGAAGUGUCGGGUUAAGUCCCAUAACGAGCGCAACCCCCAUUUCUAGUUGCCAGCGGUUCGGCCGGGGACUCUAGAGAAACUGCCAGCGUAAGCGGUGAGGAAGGUGGGGGAUGACGUCAAAUCAUCACGGCCCUUACGUCUUGGGCUACACACGUGCUACAAUGGUAGUGACAAUGGGCAGCCACCCCGCGAGGGG
rnacentral:rRNA from 1 species